UUCAUUUACUAUUAAUUUGGGCCAUUUUUGCUCGUUUAUUCUUGUAAUAAAACAUGAUUUUAUCCUUCCUAGAACCACCAAGACGAACCCGCUGGCGACAUCAUUGUGGCUCUUCCGGAGACCACCAUCUGCCUGGUUCCGUCGGUUGGUUGUGGCGACACCACCUGCCCAGAGCCGCCGACCCCUGGUACCAACAUCUGCCAGGUAAGUAGUAAAGGAACUAUUUUAUUUUCUGAGUUAAUUAAUGAUAAUGAACUACAGAACUAUAGUAAGUUGAUCCCAUAACUAAUCGUAUUGCUCUUCAUCAGGAGGAGCCAGAGCAGGUUGCUGAGCCUGGCGAGGAGAUUGAGGAGCGCCCAGAAACACCCGGGGCUCAGACUCGCCAGGAGGAACCAGCUGACAAUCCCUCCGACAUUAACACCUGUCAGGUAAGUAAAAGGGAAGGGAGACAUAUUGUGAAAAUGGCGCCACUCAGUAUUAUAUUAUUUUCCU